GAUUUCUGGCCUGAAACAUUUUGCCGGCCACGGUUUCGUGUGUUAGUGCUUUGUGUUCUGGCCAUCCUUCCAAUCGCUAUUCAGCUUUCUUCAUUGAUUGCUGAGUGGUAUUGGAUCUUUUACUUUGAAAAAAUUAGAGUGUUUCAAGCAGGCUUUAUGCUAUGAAUACAUUAGCAUGGAAUAAUAAUUUAGGACUUCGGUUCUAUUUUGUUGGUUUCUAGGACUGAAGUAAUGAUUGAUAGGGAUAGUUGGGGGUGCUAGUAUUCAGCGGCCAGAGGUGAAAUUCUCGGAUUCGCUGAAGACUAACUUAUGCGAAAGCAUU
rnacentral:rRNA from 1 species